AACCCACGAUAAUGACACGUUCUCAAAAGAUCUUUAAAUCUCUCCUAUGCAUCAUAAAAUGUCUCCAUUUCAAAUUGAACAAAAAAAGAUAUGUUGUUUCUCAACUU
rfam:Gossypium arboreum cultivar AKA8401 contig_6197_1, whole genome shotgun sequence.